AACCCAUGAUGAAGGCACCUUCUCAUAAUAUUCUUAAAUCUCUCCCAUGUAUCAUAUAGUGUCUCAAGCUCAAAUUGAGCAAAAGAAGAGAUGUCAUUCCUUAACUU
rfam:Gossypium hirsutum cultivar TM-1 chromosome 9, whole genome shotgun sequence